rnacentral:misc_RNA from 1 species
GGCAAAUCCAUUGUCCAAGUACCAAAAUCCCACUUGAAAGGGCACCUUCAUUUCAACAAGCUACUUAUCAGAAUCUACACCCUCACGUCGAAGCAUAUCUACCGCCACAUUCCCACCAUCUUCUCUACGGCUUAGGACCACCAAAUUAAUUCAACUAACGUUCACAUCUGAAUUCAUUUCUCCGGAAGACCAUUGGGGCACAUGGACAGUUCUCCUACCACCGGGCGUUUUCGGUUGUCUUGGAAUUCCUACCGCCGCUAGCGGUUCCUUUGCUCUUGUUU